GUGGAUGUAGCUCAGUUGGCAGAGCAUCGGGUUGUGGUCUCGAGGGUCGCGGGUUCAAAUCCCGUCAUCCACCC
rnacentral:tRNA from 1 species